GCGACCUUCGAUCAGGCAGGGCCACCCGCUGAGUUUAAGCAUA
rnacentral:rRNA from 1 species